GUGUCAGCAGCCGCGGUAAUACGUAGGGGGCAAGCGUUGUCCGGAAUUACUGGGCGUAAAGGGAGCGUAGGCGGUCUUUUAAGUUAGAUGUGAAAUACCCGGGCUUAACUUGGGAGGUGCAUCUAAAACUGGGGGACUUGAGUGUAGGAGAGGAAAGUGGAAUUCCUAGUGUAGCGGUGAAAUGCGUAGAUAUUAGGAGGAACACCAGUGGCGAAGGCGACUUUCUGGACUAUAACUGACGCUGAGGCUCGAAAGCGUGGGGAGCAAACAGGAUUAGAUACCCUGGUAGUCCACGCUGUAAACGAUGAAUACUAGGUGUAGGGGGUAUCGACUCCCCCUGUGCCGCAGCAAACGCAAUAAGUAUUCCGCCUGGGGAGUACGGCCGCAAGGUUGAA
rnacentral:rRNA from 1 species